CUUCAGCGAGCCGAGCCACAGCGGCCGGUCCACGGGGCGGUCCUGGCCGUAGGUGGCCAGCAGCGCGCCCGCCUC
rnacentral:antisense_RNA from 1 species